CUCUCGCCGGCGGGCCGGCUUUCUACGCGGGGGCAGCGAGGCUGGCUCAGCACCCCGGGCCUCCUCUUGCAACCCUCGGGAAUGGCCGGCCGCCCCACUGAAAGCGCUGGGGAACCGAGAGGUGUCUUAGAAAGCUGCAUGAGUGGCAGAACGGUGGCUACUAUGACAGAGAGGCCGCCGUGGGCGAAGAGGGAGGUAUCCUGUCCUGCCUCGUGCUAGCCGCUGGCUUCCUCAGUGGGCUCUCCCUGAAGGAGGAUUUCCGCUUCACCUAUGCUUUAGGAUUCCAUCUCCAGUCAGUGCCUGCAAGACGAUCCUCACGUGCGAAACUGAGGAGUCUGAGGCAGGGCAGCUGGAGUGGAGAUACCUGGCUUCUCUUCCUCCUGCUGUCCCACGGUUUUGUGGCCUUAAGCCUCUUCGCCAUGAGCGCUGCUUUUAGAUGAAAAGCAUCAAUCUCCUUAGCGAACGAGAACGUGUUCCACCUGAACCACAGUCCAUUGCCGCGGCGAUUUUCAUUUCAGUAUUCGUGGGAUGUGAGAUUACCAUGAAAGUAGCUUUUGUUGCCAUUUAUUUCCAUGUGCCUUUCAUGAAACGUGUUAUUAAUCACCUGUGGCUAUUCUACGUUAGUUUCUUACUAUCGUUCUGGACCUUUCAACUUCUGAAUUUUAAAAAGUUAUAUGCGUGUGUGUGUGUGUACACACACUCAUAUGUAUAUGUUUUCUCUUCUUAGCUGUAGUAACCUGGAGGCAUAAAAGUGAAAAGCAAAGUAUUAAAAGAUGUAUAUCAGUGUUUAUACACAAAUUUCAAAGUCACUUUGAUAGGUUUUUUUUUGGUUUUGGUUUUGGUUUUUUUUGAUCCGGAGUCUCGCUCUGUCGCCAGGCUCCAGUGCAGUGGCGCGAUCUCGGCUCACUUGCAACCUCUGCCUCCCAGGUUCAAGCGAUUCUCCUGCGUCAGCCUCCCGAGUAGCUGGAACUACAGGCGCGUGCCACGACACCCAGCUAAUUUUUGUAUUAUUAGUAGAGACGGGGUUUCACCAUGUUGGCCAGGAUAGUCUCGAUCAAGAUCUUGACCUCGUGACCCGCCCGCCUUGGCCUCCCAAAGUGCUGGGAUUACAGGUGUGAGCCACCGUGCCUGGCCGAUUAUGAGUUUUUUAUUGUUCCGUUGGAACAUGAAAUUACCCAUCCUCUGAAGAUUCACGUGCUUAUGUAUUUCAUUUUAAAUAAUGGGGCCUAAAAGUAGAUGAUGGAUGGAAUUGAAGUGGGUAAAAUAAAUUAAUGGCUUUUUUGCUUUUGUUUUUGUUUUUAGUAUGUGUAUUGCUGGUAUUUUUGACAGUAAUUAAAAAUUUAAGCCAGGUCAUGAACUCAUUCCCUAUCAUUGUCACCUUAGAUCCUGGUGGCCAACGGGUUGUUAACUAGUUUGAAAUGAGAGAUAAAGAUAAGAAAGUAUGUCCAAGAGAAUGAUUUCCGUUAUCUCAAACUAAACAUGAAGAGCAAAUAGUUGGUUAUAUUGUUAUCUUCCUAACCUAUCUCUAUUCUCUGCAACACACUCUAAAUGAUUAGAAAAUAUCUUGAGCUUAUCGUCUGUCUUACAUCUAUCUUAGACGUAAGGUCUAAACCUGCCCACUAACAGGUUGUGACCCUAAACAAAUUUGGGCCUUUUCCUUCAUCCUUUAAAUAAGAUGGUAGACUAAAUAAGUACCUUUUAAGUAUAGUGGUAGACUAAAUAAGCACUCCUUUAAUUAGAAUAUUCUGUAAUUAUUCAUGGAAGAAAACUGGCACUUUAUUUCACAAAUCAAUAAUAAGAGGACAAGAGACUAACUUUCUGCAUUCAUAAAAGGGGUGAUGGUUAAAUUCAUUAAAAUUUAAGUGGGAAGGGUGGAUAUGAAUUAAAUUUUCUAAAGCAGCAGUCCCCAACAUUUUUGGCACCAGGGAUCUGUUUUGUGGAAGACAAUUUUUCCAUGGAUGGAGAUGGGGAGGGUUGAUGGUUUCGGGAUGAAGCUGUUCUAGAAAACUGCAGAUCAUAAGGUAUUAGAUUCUGAUAAGAAGCCACAACCUAAAUCCCACGCAUCCGCAGUUCACAAUAGGGUUCAUGCUCCUAUGACAAUCUAAUGCAGCCACUGAUCUGACAGGAGGCGGAGCUCAGGCAGUAAUGGUUACUGCCUGCUGUGUGGCCUGGUUCCUAAUAGGCCACAGAUGGGUACCUGUCCAUGGCCCAGAGUUUGGGGACCCCUGUUCUAAAGUAUAUGGAGGUUUAUUAACAUUCAUUAUGUUUUACUGACUGUAAGUAUUAAAAUUCCUAAAAAAUAAUAAUGGAACUAAAUUAUAAUGCUUGUCUUUCAACCGUUUUUCUUAAGUGUAUUCAUCUUUCUCAAAUUCAGCAACCUUUUACAAACCUUACAAAGGAAAAACGCAGUGACUUUACUGUCUAGAGUGAACUUUUACUGAUGGUUAUUGAAUGAAUAUUAUAAUAUGUACACACUAUUACUCUUGUUACAGUGUGACAUUCUUCAGAAUUCAUCCUGGAAUCAAUAUUAUGCCAAAGAAAAUUUUCUGAAAGGUAGGAGAGAGUGCCAUUUUCCAAAUAUUGAUAAAUGUCUCAGGAAACAUGGGACAUGGGGUGUGGUGUGGGUUGGGGUGGGAAUUUGUAUGUAAAUAAUUAGAAGUGCCCAGGGAGUUAUUCUUUCCAUUCUUAGGGUUUUCAUCAUGAAAACUACAAGAGUUGCCAUUAACCAUCCAAGACAACAUAAAAAAAAUAGGUUAACAUGUGGCUUUCAUUACAAUUAUCAUGGAAUGAAACUUUAUAUUUCAGUAGAAAUGAAGUUAUUAUUAUUAUUAUUAUUUUUUGAGACAGUCUUGCUGUGUCAGCCAGGCUGGAAUGCAGUGGCACCAUCUCAGUUCACUGCAACUUCUGUCUCCUGGGCUCAAGUAAUUCUCCUGCCUCAGCCUCCCGAGUAGCUGGGAUUACAGGUGUGUGCCACUAUGCCUUGCUAAUUUUCGUAUUUUUAGUAGAGAUGGGAUUUCACCAUGUUGGCCAGCCUGGUCUUGAACUCCUGACCUCAGGUAAUCCACCUGCCUCGGCCUCCCAAAGUGCUGGGAUUACAGGCGUGAGCCACUGUGACCGGCCUGAAGUUAGUUUUUUCCUAGUACUGGUAUAUUUACACUUAGCCCACCAGUUAACUCUUAGUUUUUCUGUGGUUAAUCACAAUUUCUUUUUUUUCUUUUUUUUUUUUUUUUUUUUUGAGACGGAGUCUCUCUCUGUUACCCAGGCCGGACUGCCGUGGCACUAUCUCGGCUCACUGCAAGCUCCGCCUUCCGGGUUCACACCAUUCUCCUGCCUCAGCCUCCAGAGUAGCUGUGACUACAGGCGCCCGCCACCAUGCCUGGCUAAUUUUUUGUAUUUUUAAUAGAGACGGGGUUUCACUAUGUUAGCCAAGAUGGUCUCGAUCUCCUGACCUUGUGAUCCACCUGCCUGAACCUCCCAAAGUGCUGGGAUUACAGGCAUGAGCCACCGCGCCUGGCCCACAAUUUCAGUAUAAGCAAGGCCAAAUCUCAUUGGGCUUUUCUGGGUCCAGACUCUCCUCUAUGUCUUUUCCUACAUGUGCAUACCUAUGAUAAAGUUUAAUUAUAUAGUAGUCACCGUAAGAGAUUGACAGAAAUAACUGAUAAUAAAAUAGUACAAUUAUAACAAUUUACUGUAAUAAAAGUUAUGUUAAUGUGGGCUCUGUCUCUCAAAAUAUCUUAUUGUAUUGUACUCACCUAUUUUCAGACCAGAAUUAGUUACAGCAAUUCUAGGGGAAAAAAUACAAAGCCUAAUUCAGCCAAUUUAAAGUUCUUCUUGACCAUAAUCUAUCUUUCUUUGGGGAAAAAAUACAUUUAAAGCAACCAAAGCUUCAUCCUCACCAUUUUUUAAAUGGUAAAAUACACAUUCAUAAAAUUUACCAUUUUAGCCAUUUAAAAGUGUACAAUUCAGUAGCAUGAAGUACACAGUAGCCCUCCCUUAUCUGCAGUUUUGCUUUUCUUGGCUUCAGUUACUCUAUUUCCCUGAAGCCCACGAUUGGAAACCCAGAUGUCUGAUGACAUGCUUGGUUGCAAGCAACUGAUCCUAGUUGAAGCCAAAAGAAAUUCAUUGGCUUAUGCAGCUAACAAGUCUGGACUUGUGUAGCUUCAGGGUUGGCUAGAUUCAGAGUCUGAAACUAUGUCAUUAGGAUGUCACUUUGAGCUAUGCUUUCUUCUUUGUUAACUUCAUUCUCACCUUGGCUCUUCCUACAUUGCAAAAAGAUGGCAUUGGCUUCUCUAGGCUGUGUGUGUGUGUGUGUGUGUGUGUGUGUGUGUACACACACAAAUAUAUAUUCAUAUGUUUUUAAGAGAAACAUAGUCUCUCUGUGUUGGCCAAGCUGGUCUCAAACUCCUCACCUCAAGAUAUCCUCCUGCUUCAGCCUCCCAAGUAACUGUGAUUACAGAUACGAGCCACAGCAUCUGGCUCUAGGGUAUAAUUUAGAUCAGUACCCCAUUAUAGUAAAUAUUUAGUAUAUUUAAAAUUUUUUAAUCUGGAAAUUUGAAUAUAGGUAACCUACUGUAUUAGUCUGUUUUCAUGCUGCUGAUAAAGAGAUACCUGAGACUGGGCAAUUUACAAAGGAAGGAGGUUUAGUAGAGAACUCACAGUUCUACGUGGCUGGGGAUGCCUCACAAUCAUGGCGGAAGGCAAGGAGGAGCAAGUCACAUCUUACGUGGAUGGCAGCAGGCAAAGAGGGAAUGAGGAAGACACAAAAGCAGAAGCCUCUGAUAAAACCAUCAGAUCCCAUGAGACUUACUCACUACCAUGAGAACAGUAUGAGGGAAACCACCCUCAUGAUUCAGCUAUCUCCCCCCCGUGUUCUUGCCACAACACCUGGGAAUUAUGGGAGUACAAUUCAAGAUGAGAUUUGGAUGGGGACACAGAGCCAAACCAUAUCACCUACAUAAGCAAAAGCUCCAUAAAAUCCUCAAUUUUUACGAAUGUAAAGGAUCCCAAGAACCAAAACUGAGAAUCAUAGAUUUACAUCAUGUGCCAAUCUGCAAAGCACUUAUAAGACAAAUUACAAACUCCUCUUUCUCCAUUAUACUAUAGAGGUUAUACUUUCCUGAGGGCUCCAGUUUAUAUACCUUUAAUUCUGCCUAUAUAGUCACAUAUUAAUAUUCAGAAGGUAGAGAAGUUCUUCCUAGGUAUGUACUGACAAUUUACAAAUGUACGAAGUUUCCAUUUAUUUAUGUGGC
rnacentral:lncRNA from 1 species